GCCACACCAAGCGCAAUCCUGUACCUGAUAUUCCAAUCGAGUAUAGGUUUCUGUUCAUCUGGUGACUGGAUCGGAGCCUUUUGGAAGAGGAAUUCACCCAAUGAACCAUUAGGUACAUACUCAUACACAAGUAUCCUUCUACCCUUCUCAGCACAAAACCCCCACAACCUCACCAAAUUCAAAUGGUGCAUCCGUGCUAUGAUCGUGACCUCGGCCCAGAACUCAGCAUCACCGCCUUUGACAUUCUUCAAGCACUUCACGGCAACAACACGUCCAUCACUUAACUUCCCUUUGUAAACAUCUCCAAAUCCACCCUUCCCAAUUUUAUCAGUGAAAUCAUUAGUUGCAUGCUUGAUCUCAGAAAAGCUAAACCUUUUCGGUCCAAUCGCAGGCAUGACUUCAAGACCAAAAGUCCUAGCCAUAUCCCUAUACUUAAUAUACUUCUUGAGAAAUGCCCAAAAGAAGAACACUCCACUAAUCAACUCAGCUGCAAAAAUCGUCGAAAUGAUCACAAUAUUUCUAGUGGUUGUCUUAGACUCUUCUGGUGGAAAUGGAAGGCUAAUUCUCACUGGACAUGAAGUCUCCAUCAAACUAGUCAUGCCUCUGAAAUUCGAUAUAUCGUUCUCUCUACUAUCAACUCUCAAAUACAUAACAAACUCGGUACCUGGUGACCAAUAUCCAUACAACAAUUUCUCCAAAACAAGCACACAAUAUCCAGUCCCAUCAUACUUAAACAAAAAACCUAAACAAUCAUUCUUAUCUGAACAAUUCUUUUCACAACUCGAAAAGCUCAAAGCUUU
rnacentral:misc_RNA from 1 species